rnacentral:lncRNA from 1 species
UGAGUGAUGAGACACCAGUGUCAUGACUGCUGAGAUUGGUGUUAUUCUCAUGUGGAUGAUCUCCUCCUCAUCCACAAACACCAGUGAUGUACCAGGCAAGUCUGGCCCCUGUUGGUGCUGCAAGUGGUGUGGCAGGUGCCUCCUCCUCAACACCCACUGUCUCGGUCACCACUUCUCUCUGUUGGGCUGCCUCUGCCACUUCCCCCAGCAUCAUCUGCUGCCUGCACACUGCUGGCAUCAUUAGUUCUAACUUCAGAAACUAAGCUGAUAAUGUUUUUGGUUUUAUUGCUAAGGACAAAAGUAACAGAAACCAGUAAAUCUAGCUAAGGGUA